rnacentral:SRP_RNA from 2 species
GUCGGGCGCGGUGGCUCACGCCUGUAAUCCCAGCACUUGGGAGGCUGAGGCAGGUGGAUCACCUGAGGUCAGGAGUUCAAGACCAGCCUGACCAACAUGGAGAAACCCUGUCUCUA